AGUAACGCGUGGGUAACCUGCCCUUUUGUGGGGGAACAACUUCGAGAAAUCGGAGCUAAUACCGCAUAAUAAUAGAGGAUCGCAUGAUUCUUUAAGGAAAGAUGGCCUCUGAAGAUGCUAUCGCAAAAGGAUGGACCCGCGUCUGAUUAGCUAGUUGGAAGGGUAACGGCCUACCAAGGCAACGAUCAGUAGCCGGCCUGAGGGGGUGAACGGCCACAUUGGGACUGAGACACGGCCCAAACUCCUACGGGAGGCAGCAG
rnacentral:rRNA from 1 species